rnacentral:rRNA from 1 species
GACGAACGCUGGCGGCGUGCUUAACACAUGCAAGUCGAACGGAAAGGCCCUGCUUUUGUGGGGUGCUCGAGUGGCGAACGGGUGAGUAACACGUGAGUAACCUGCCCUUGACUUUAGGAUAACUUCAGGAAACUGGGGCUAAUACCGGAUAGGAGCUCCUGCUGCAUGGUGGGGGUUGGAAAGUUUCGGCGGUUGGGGAUGGACUCGCGGCUUAUCAGCUUGUUGGUGGGGUAGUGGCUUACCAAGGCUUUGACGGGUAGCCGGCCUGAGAGGGUGACCGGCCACAUUGGGACUGAGAUACGGCCCAGACUCCUACGGGAGGCAGCAGUGGGGAAUAUUGCGCAAUGGGCGGAAGCCUGAUGCAGCAACGCCGCGUGCGGGAUGACGGCCUUCGGGUUGUAAACCGCUUUCGCCUGUGACGAAGCGUGAGUGACGGUAAUGGGUAAAGAAGCACCGGCUAACUACGUG